AGGUUGAAGGUGCCGUAACAGGCACUGGAGGACCGAACCCACUGUCGUUGAAAAGCCAGGGGAUGACUUGUGGAUCGGAGUGAAAGGCUAAUCAAGCCCGGAGAUAGCUGGUUCUCCCCGAAAGCUAUUUAGGUAGCGCCUCGGACGAAUACCACAGGGGGUAGAGCACUGUUUCGGCUAGGGGGUCAUCCCGACUUACCAACCCGAUGCAAACUCCGAAUACCUGUGAGUACUAUCCGGGAGACACACGGCGGGUGCUAACGUCCGUCGUGAAGAGGGAAACAACCCAGACCGCCAGCUAAGGUCCCCAAGUACCAGUUAAGUGGGAAACGAUGUGGGAAGGCUCAGACAGCUAGGAGGUUGGCUUAGAAGCAGCCAUCCUUUAAAGAAAGCGUAAUAGCUCACUAGUCGAGUCGGCCUGCGCGGAAGAUGUAACGGGGCUCAAACUGGUCACCGAAGCUGCGGCUGCAUACUUUGUAUGCGGGGUAGGGGAGCGUUCUGUAAGCCUGCGAAGGUGUGUUGAGAAGCAUGCUGGAGGUAUCAGAAGUGCGAAUGCUGACAUGAGUAACGACAAUGCGGGUGAAAAACCCCCACGCCGGAAGACCAAGGGUUCCUGCGCAACGCUAAUCGGCGCAGGGUGAGUCGGCCCCUAAGGCGAGACCGAAAGGUGUAGU
rnacentral:rRNA from 1 species